AGAGAAGUGCGGAAAUGCGAUACGUGGUGUGAAUUGCAGAAUCCCGUGAACCAUUGAAUUUUUGAACGCAAGUUGCGCCCAAUGCCAUUUUAUAGGCUGAGGGCAUGCCUGCCUGGGUGUCAUGC
rnacentral:rRNA from 1 species